rnacentral:rRNA from 1 species
AGCGACGCCGCGUGGGGGAAGAAGGCUUUCGGGUUGUAAACCCCUUUUCUUGGUGAAGAGGAAGGACGGUAGCCAAGGAAGAAGCCUCGGCUAACUACGUGCCAGCAGCCGCGGUAAUACGUAGGAGGCGAGCGUUAUCCGGAAUUACUGGGCGUAAAGGGCGUGUAGGCGGUCCCUUAAGUUGGUGGUGAAAUCUCCCGGCUCAACCGGGAGGGGUCUGCCAAAACUGAGGGGCUUGAGGGCAGCAGAGGAAGGUGGAAUUCCCGGUGUAGCGGUGAUAUGCGUAGAUAUCGGGAGGAACACCAGUGGCGAAGGCGGCCUUCUGGGCUGUCCCUGACGCUGAGGCGCGAAAGCGUGGGGAGCGAAGCGGAUUAGAUACCCGCGUAGUCCACGCCCUAAACGGUGGACACCAGGUAUAGAGGGUGUCGACCCCCUCUGUGCCGAAGCUAACGCUUUAAGUGUCCCGC